ACUACGCUGGCGGCGUGCCUAAUACAUGCAAGGUCGAACGGGAUUUUUUGAUCAGCUUGCUGAGAGAAGGAUCUAGUGGCGGACGGGUGAGUAACGCGUGGGAAUCUGCCUCUUACUGGGGGAUAACAGUGGGAAACUACUGCUAAUACCGCAUAAGAUCUUCGGAUGAAAGGUGCAACUGCACCGGUAAGAGAUGAGCCCGCGUCCCAUUAGCUAGUUGGUGAGGUAAAGGCUCACCAAGGCGACGAUGGGUAGCCGGCCUGAGAGGGUGAACGGCCACACUGGGACUGAGACACGGCCCAGACUCCUACGGGAGGCAGCAGUAGGGAAUCUUCCGCAAUGGGCGCAAGCCUGACGGAGCGACGCCGCGUGAGUGAUGAAGGCCUUCGGGUCGUAAAGCUCUGUUCUUGAGGACGAAUAAGCCAGGGAGUGGAAAGCCCUGGUGAUGACUGUACUCAAGGAGAAAGCUCCGGCUAACUACGUG
rnacentral:rRNA from 1 species